GGGUUCUGAUCGGGCCGGUUGGGCAGAACUCUCUGGGUUCUGAUCGGGCCGGUUGGGCAGAACUUCUGCCUGUCAUCUGAUCCAGUGAACCGUUGGAGGGGGAAACACCCAGAAAGUCAAACACAGCGAGUCGGGCCUGAACACAACCGGUACCUCCUCAAUGUAAACAUGAGCUGUUAGAGGUCUGAUCAGGAUGUGGGAGGUUCUGACCCGUUAAAGGUUCUGACAGAGCCGUCUUUGUCGGUUUGUCCUGAAAGGCGUCAUUCGGGUCGGACCCGUCCUCGCCCAGGAUUUGCAUGCUGCAGGAAACAGAAACAAACUCAUUUUCAUUUACGGCUGCAGGCCGUCGGGCUGCAGCUCUUCUCUCACAGGAACCAGAACCAUCAGAGUUCUGCCGGGCAGAACCCGACUCAAAGGCUACAAUUCAGUCUCUCUCCAGAACCUCCUGAUUAUUUCCAACAUGGCCGACAUCUUUAAAUAAUCUGCUGAAUGCGUCAGAACACAGGCUGGUGAGUCUCUGCUGUUAUCUACGAAAGAAGGUCCAAAUGGUUCUGAUGGACCCGGUUGAGGCUUCUAUAUUUACUGCUCCACCUUGGGUUCACCUGUGAUCCAGGGUCGGAUCCAGGAUUCCUCCAUGGAGGCAGUGGGAGCGGACGCGACCGGGUUGUGGUUCCUGACACCAGGACUCUUCCUCCUCCUCCUCAUCCUCCUCUCCAUCUUCCUGACUGCUCUGUGUAGCGACUGCAACAGGUCAGCUCUGCAGCCCGAACACAAACACUCUGAGACAGACGCAGUCAGAGGCAGACAGA